CUCUAGACUCUAAAUGCCAGUAUUUGCUUUCUCCAAAUUUGCUUCUCCUCCAGCCUCACCCAUCUCUGUAAAUGGCACCACCUUGUUCAAUUGUUCAAACUGAAAACCUAGAAGCCAUCCUUGAUCCUGCUUUUUCUCUUACCAUUCACCAUCCAAAUCCAUCAAGUCUCAUGGAACCACUGGGGCCAGGUGGGAUGAUUAUCUUUAAGUUUUUGUGCUCAAUCUUCGAGCUUUUUGACAGCAUUCGUACUAACCUGGAUUGGUUGGGUAGAAACAACACUGUUCAUCCAGAAAGAGGCAUAGGCCUCCUUUUUCGGCGGUAAGGAAGUCAAGGACUCUGUUGUUAAAUUAAAAUGAAUUAAUCUGACAUGAUGGAAAACAAAAUGAAAAGGUAUGCAAAUCUGUAAUUUGAAAUAUAUGUGUCUGGGGUAUGUGUGUGUGCAUGCUCUUUUAUCUGUGUUUUAUUUUCUCCUCUGGCAAUUUGAAAGCAACAAUUUGACAUAAAAGUCUUGAACUGCUUUAUUUCCUUUGGUCUGUGCCAGAAAAAAACAACAGAAACAACAAAACCCUGAUUUUGUACAAAAAGCAACAAGACUGAAUUUUUUUUUUCUU
rnacentral:lncRNA from 1 species